GUACCUGGCAAUUACUGCCCCAGGAGAGGAAACGACAUUUGAAUCAAUACCUGAGAAUCAACAAUCCUAAGGCAUCUUGUUUGCUUGAUUAAUCCCAUCGACAGCUGACCUGGGUAUCCCCCAGCUCUAAAAACACCGAUGUGCUCUAUAUACCAGCUAUUUAUCAAACCAUCUGUUUUCACACACCCAAAAUGUGUCUGUAAGUACCUUAGACCGUUUACCUAUAUCAUAUAUAUCUGCCAUCCAGCCAUUAUCAUCCACUUUUACUCUGAGAAACUACAAGAUAUGGCAACC